rnacentral:rRNA from 1 species
UACGUAGGGGGCGAGCGUUAUCCGGAUUUACUGGGUGUAAAGGGAGCGUAGACGGCCAUGCAAGCUCGGUGUGAAAGGUGCGGGCACAACCCGCAGACUGCACUGAGAACUGUAUGGCUAGAGUGCCGGAGGGGCAGGCGGAAUUCCUGGUGUAGCGGUGAAAUGCAUAGAUAUCGCGCAGAACUCCGAUUGCGAAGGCAGCAUGCCGGCUCCACACUGACGCUGAGGCACGAAAGCGUGGGUAUCGAACAGG